rnacentral:rRNA from 1 species
GACGAACGCUGGCGGCGUGCUUAACACAUGCAAGUCGAACGGAAAGGCCCUGCGUUUGUGGGGUGCUCGAGUGGCGAACGGGUGAGUAACACGUGAGUAACCUGCCCUUGACUUUGGGAUAACUUCAGGAAACUGGGGCUAAUACCGGAUAGGAGCUCCUGCUGCAUGGUGGGGGUUGGAAAGAUUCGGCGGUUGGGGAUGGACUCGCGGCUUAUCAGCCUGUUGGUGGGGUAGUGGCUUACCAAGGCUUUGACGGGUAGCCGGCCUGAGAGGGUGACCGGCCACAUUGGGACUGAGAUACGGCCCAGACUCCUACGGGAGGCAGCAGUGGGGAAUAUUGCACAAUGGGCGGAAGCCUGAUGCAGCAACGCCGCGUGCGGGAUGACGGCCUUCGGGUUGUAAACCGCUUUCGCCUGUGACGAAGCGUGAGUGACGGUAAUGGGUAAAGAAGCACCGGCUAACUACGUG